UACGUAGGCGGAAAAUUAAGUCAGUAGUGAAGUCCUGCAGCUUAACUGUAGAACUGUUAUUGAUACUGGUUUUCUUGAAUAUAGUUGAGGUAGGCGGAAUGUGUAAUGUAGCGGUGAAAUGCUUAGAUAUUACACAGAACACCGAUUGCGAAGGCAGCUUACUAAGCUAUGAUUGACGCUGAGGUACGAAAGCGUGGGGAGCGAACAGGAUUAGAUACCCUGGUAGUCC
rnacentral:rRNA from 1 species